AGGGAAAGUGGUCGGGGACGCUAGUGGAGUCUUCUGGGGUGGAGGCGCGCCGUCGUCGACGCCGAAGGAUGGAGAACGGACGGACGUCCGCACUUUAAGCCGAGUGCGGACGUCCGCUUCACAUCCCUGUUGUAUAUAUAUACACAGAGAGGAUCUAAAGAGGACGUCCGCACAUCUUUAAAGUGCGGACGUCCCUCCGUUCUCCUCCGUACGGCUCCGACGACGGUGUGCCUCCACCCCAACGGCCUCCAGCAGCGUUUUCGAUCACUUUCCCUCCCCGGCGAGUCCUCCGAAUUCUAGUUUUCCGGUGAGAUCACCCAAAACUUCAAACAAAAUCAAUCUUGCCGAAAAAAUGGAAUUCGGCGGACUCACCGGGGAGGAAAAGCGAUCGGGGACACUGCUGGAGGCCGCUGGGGUGGAGGCGCCGCGUCGUCGGCGCCGUACUGUGGAGAAAUGAGGCACGUCCGCACUUUAAGGUGUGCUGACGUCUGCCUCUGAUCCCGACUAUAUAUAUAUAUAUAGUUUAAUUUCAGAGUGAAGCUUCGCUCUGAAAUUAAAGUGUGAAGUUUCUUAUUUGACUCACUUUUUGGUCAUAUUUUCAUAUCUCCACCGUUCUCUUUAUUGAUACUAAUGCAUAGAUCAUUCAUGCAAAAUUUCAUUCAAAUUAAUGAUCGUUUAGGUACGGAAUUAGGUUAAAUCAAUGAACGGACCAUAAACCUACCUGACCAGUACUAUGUGUGUAUAUCACGAUUAUGAACACCCAAACGACCAUCAAAUUCGAUGAAAUUUUGCAGGAAUGAUCUAUGCAUUAGUAUCAAUAAAGAAAACGGUGGAGAUGUGAAAAUAUGACCGAAAAGUGAGUCAAAUAAAAAACUUCACACUUUAAUUUCAGAGCGAAGCUUCGCUCUGGAUUGGAACUAUAUAUACACACACACACACACACACACACAUAUACAGUCGGGAUCAGAGACGGACGUCCGCACACCCUUAAAGUGCGGGCGUCCCUCUGUUCUCCACCGUACGGCUNNNNNNNNNNNNNNNNNNNNAGAGAGAGAGAGAGAGGAGAGGGNGGGGGGGGUUUGGGAGGAAUUAAGCCUAAAUCUUUAAUACAAAGGCCUAAAACAAUAUCAGAAAUCUUUACAUCAAACAUGUAUUCAAACAUGCACCAACUAGCAGGGAGUGUUUUAAUGGCUACUUCAUUUGUUUUUAUAUAGCGGUGACAUAAUGGAAAGAUCGCUGGACAUGCAACUCAAUUACAUUUUUUGAGGAAAAUAAACCAGCUUUCCAACUAUUUUGUCGCCGGAAGAUAGAUCCAACGACACUCGGCUUCACCCUACCACAUGACCAUUUGACAAAUCUAGACGCCCCUAUAAUUGUGGGAGGUCCUAGACACCAGCCUAGUUGGUCUUGCCUCAAGGCCGGCCAUGCUUGACCCUACUACCAGACGGCCACGACCAUUUGACAAAGCAAUGAACUCGUUGCAUACCUAGAGCAGACAAGACACAAAGAGUGCACACACAAGCACGAAACCUACAUAGCCCUAUAUUUUUAAAGUAGAGACUUAUUACUCGCCUAAGGCGCAAUUUAUUAACUAGAUAGUAAAAAGAAAAAACUAUAAAGAAAACAACUAUGAUCAGGCCCAAACAUUGAACCCAAAUCCGACAGCCCAGCAAGACAAUAUCCAAGCCCACAAAAUGAGGGAAUCAAGCAGGCCAUAUCCAUCCUUCCCAGCUAAUACAACCACUGCAUUAGACCUGCCCUACCACCACGUACAACUGCCACCCCACCGACGCGUUAGCACCCAAUCCACCACCCCACUGCAGGCGUUGGACUUCCACCGCCAUUGUGACACCACAUAUUCCUCCAAACAUCCCAGAUUCAUAACCCGAUCUUAGCUCCAGAAGGCGGCCAUUGUCCUUCUAGACACGUCUAGAAAUUUGGCCAGUGAACCACCAAUCUCUACGCACCCUCCGAUCAUCGCGAGUCGGCGUUCCAAAUCUGCUAUGGCCUACCUCCAGUCUAAUACCCAUCCACCCUAACACCACCCAUGAUGCAGCAUUCUCCAGGCAACUGAUACGCCCACCAUAGGUACACCCCGUUCGGCCACAAUCAUUGUGCGCCGACACGGCCAGAGGCCGACACUAGCGCCGCGGCGCAGCCGGACAAGGACAAGAAAAGAUUGACGCAACUUCUCUUGGUUUUCAACGCGUGAGGCGCGUUUAUCACUUUAGUUCUGAAAACUAAGUCAUUGCAGUAAUACUGUUUCGAAACAAUGUUAGUAUUAGUUUCCAACAUAGCUCAUGAAACACAUCUCUCUUCUCAUACAAAUUAUAUAAGAUCGUAUGGGUACGUAAAAUUACAAAAAAAAAAUAAAAAAUUAUAUCAAAAAUAAAGAAACCUAGUUAAAGUAUAAUAUCUUGCUUAAGAGUUUUCUUCUCCAAUAUGAGAACAACGUAAGUGAAGAUGCAAAGCCCUAAUUAGAAAUAGCUAGCGACAUAUAUAUAUAUAUAUAUAUGUAUAUAUAUAGUCCGGNNN
rnacentral:lncRNA from 1 species